UCCUGGCUUAGGAUGAACGCUGGCGGCGUGCCUAACACAUGCAAGUCGAGCGAGAUAUCCAUGACGAAUUCUUCGGAUGCCUGAAUGGAUGGAAAGCGGCGGACGGGUGAGUAACGCGUAGGUAACCUGCCCUGUACAAAGGGAUAGCCACUGGAAACGGUGAUUAAUACCUUAUGACACCGCAGCAUCACAUGGUGAAGCGGUCAAAGAUUUUAUCGGUACAGGAUGGACCUGCGUCUGAUUAGUUAGUUGGCGGGGUAACGGCCCACCAAGGCGACGAUCAGUAGCCGACCUGAGAGGGUGAUCGGCCACAUUGGAACUGAGACACGGUCCAAACUCCUACGGGAGGCAGCAGUGGGGAAUAUUGCACAAUGGGCGCAAGCCUGAUGCAGCAACGCCGCGUGAACGAAGAAGGCCUUUGGGUCGUAAAGUUCUGUUCUGAGGGAAGAAGAAAGUGACGGUACCUCAGGAGAAAGCCCCGGCUAACUACGUGCCAGCAGCUGC
rnacentral:rRNA from 1 species